CACCAAAAACAAAAAAAACUAUCCGAACAAUCAAAUAGUGCAGUUGCACCAAAUAGUUCAACUUAUACCAAAAUUGUCUCAGUUGUACCUAAGUGAUCUAGUUGUACAUAAAACUUCAAUUUCACCAUAUGAUUCUAUUGUUUACAAUCAAACAAAUCCUCAAUCUUUCAGUUUCUGCUGCAACUAUUUAAUCUUCUGCUCAUUAUAGCUCCAAAUUAGAUAAAUUUCUAUGCUUGUUCAUUUUAUCCUCUAGAUCAAAGCAAUGGCAGAGUAAAGCAAAACCCUUGAAGUCUGAAGGCAAAUUGAAUCAUUUUGAGUCACAAUCUAUUAAGAACAACUAUCAAGAUGUCAUACGGUUAAAAAUGGAUAGUGCGAAAUUAAAGGAGUGAUGGGAUUUUCGGCGGGAAAUCAGAAGAUUUUCAAGCGUAAUCUUUGGUCAUUAAAGCAUUAAAAUCUUCCGAACUAAAAUAACACUUCGGAAGACUUGGGGGGCUAAUUGUUAGUAUCGGAUCCCGCACCAGUAGUCCAGGACCAACCAAAGAUUGCCACAUAAGCAGAGGAGAAGCCCACGAGAGAUAGGCCCAUAAGACCCUUAGAUCAAGAGGAAGAUACGGGCGAAGUGGUCACAUCGCGAGGUGGGAACGGAGUCGAAGUCACGGAUAGUUUGGUUCGAGAUUAUUUGGGUUGAAAUGUGAGACCCAUGAAGAUCGGAAUCAAUUCAAAUUCGAACGUUUGAGCAUUAAACUCAAAGACUGAAACGGACACAUUUAAGAGAGAAUAAUUGUAUUUAAUUAGGAGUUAAAUGUUGUUUGUUAGUAUAAAUAAGAAGGCCAAGGGCCAUGUAAAACACACGUAAUUUUUCUAGCAAAUAUACUAUAUCCAUUUUCAUAUCUAUUCAUAGCUUUUUUUAAAUCAAUUUUUGUCCUCAAGAAUAAUCCUUCUCACUAAAUAAACAAAUACUUGAGUGUGUGAAUCCGACAUCCACAUCUAUGACAACGUUCAAAAGAAGAUUAAUGGCUGGCAAACCAAGUUCCUCUCCACAGCCGGGAAAGAAACACUAAUCAAAGCAGUAGCAUAUGCCAUGCUGGUCUAUUCGAUGAAUUGUUUCCAGUUACCUAUGGAGCUUUGUUCGGAAAUAGAUAGUAUGAUAGCCCGGUUCUGGUGGGGUUCAACUAAGGAAAAACGGAAAAUAUCUUGGGUUGCUUGGAAGAAGCUGGUGACAUCAAAAAAACGGGAGGAAUGGGUUUUCGCGACCUACAUUUGUUUAACCAAGCCUUGCUAGCGAAUCAAGUAUGGAAAAUUAUACAAAGGCCUCACAGCAUGAUCUUUCGGCUUCUAAAGGCCAGGUACUUCAAAGAUGGCGAUAUUUUCUCCGCAAAUAGAGGAACGAAACCUUCGUAUGGAUGAAAUUCAUUGCGAUUUGGAAGAGACCUUUUGAAAACUGGAAUCCAAGUUGCCAUCGGUAACGGGGAAAACACUAAGAUAGGACUCGACCCAUGGCUGCCAACGACACCACCAUGGCCUCCAACUCUACUGCCAAUGAUAGAACCCACCCUUGCUGCCAGUUUCUUGAUAGAUCCAAUAACCCGUCAAUGGGAUGAGACUAAAAUCAGUAACUUGAUAGAUCCAACGGAUCACCAAAAAUCCUUAAGAUCUAUCUCCCACAAAGCAGCAAGGAGGAUUCUUACAUAUGGAGUCAUACUGAAGAUGGUAAAUACACUGUCAAAUCAGGGUAUUGGAAAGCAGUCAGUGCAACACUCACCGAUGAUGACCCAAAGCCUCCUCUUGCGAGUCAUCCUGAUCUAGCUACUAAUGUGUGGAAGUUGGAUAUAGCUCCAAAACUAAAACAUUUUCUCUGGCGACUAGCAUCAAGGGCAAUAGGAACGGCUGAAAACCUCCGACGACGCAACAUAAACGUCAAUCCCUACUAUUCUAAGUGUUGUACCAAAUUAGAAACGCGAGACCAUACUUUCUUCUCAUGUCCGGAGAUUAUCCCGAUAUGGAGAGCGGCAGGUUAUACAACACAAGUAUUGGGUGACCAAGGAAAACCAAUAGAGGAAAAGCUCCAAUACCUCAUCGAACUUCACACCACACAAAACUGUUCUAAACUCCAUCAACUACUUCCUUUCUGGCUAAUGUGGAGAAUCUGGAAAGCUAGAAACGACUUAGUGUUCAAUCGCAACGUCAUAGAGGCCAAAGACACAAUCGAAAGGGCUGUAAUGGAUACAAAGGAAUGGUUAGAAAAAAGUGUUGAAACAGACUCCAUCCCAAGCGAAACAACUUGCCGGAGAAGCAACAAUGGAAAAUGGGAACCUCCACCAAGGGGUUGGGUCAAAUGUAACUAUGAUGCUUCUCAUCAUACAGGGAACUACCCAUCGGGACUAGGAUGGAUAAUUCGGAACUCAAAUGGGACUGUUCUAGAAUGCGGUAUGGGAAAAUUCCAAGGACGGGCAACAGUUGAAGAAUCAGAAUGCACAACAUUAAUAUGGGCACUUGGAUACAAGUCAAUUGAGUUUGAAGGAGAUAAUCUCACUAUAAACCGUCUGAUCAAUGGAAACGCAGCAAAUCCCAGGCUUCAACACUACCUCGACACGAUCCGCACCUGGAAGACUAUGUUCACAUCCGUAACUUUCAGAUUUCGGAGUCGGGAGAGUAACGAAUGUGCAGAUAUGCUAGCAAGGAAGGCACUAACGUGCAAUAGCAAUGCAAUGUUGUUCUAUUCAUGUCCCCUGUUUUUAGCAAAUGUUGUAAACUCUGAUAUUGGUUAUUAAUAAAGCUAUUGGAAGGAAAAAAAAAAAAGAAAGACGGUGGCAUUCCAGCAUUAUUUCUCCGAGAAAGUAGAUAGAGUACCGUCAUCUAAAAUAUUAAACCCGGUUGAACCGUACCAAACCGGAUAUGAAAAAGUGAAAUAGAUAAAUAGAAUUUAAAAAUCUAUAUGGAAACGACGAUGCUGAAAUUAACCUUAAAACGGCAUCGUAGCAAUUAACAUCAACUGAUGAAACGACGCCGUUUUUUGCGUUUUCUUACAUGUUGCGUUAAUACGUCGUCGUUUUUAAUAAGGGUGUUGCAAUUUCAUCCUCUAAACAAACCUUUAGUCGCCUUGUUGAUCAAGCCACUUAGAUAGAGAGAAGAACAACACCACCGAUCUCCGGAGAAUGUAAAGUCGUAAGAAAAUUUUCCUGAUUUCUUCUUCAUAUUCUUCCUUAACCCUAGCGAUUACAACUACCCGAUCCGCAAUUUAGACUCCAGUGGUGCCAGGGUUUAGCGUUAACGGCUGAUAAAACCUUUUCCUGAUUUCAUAAUCGUACGUACUGAACUACUGAUACUUCACAAUCGAUUGUUGGGAAGUUGCUAAUGUUUGUAAUGAUUUUUCUGCAAUGUAGACACUCAAAUUGAGAACAACAGUUUUGUAGACUUAUCCUUUGGCAACCAAGACACAUCAGCCAUGGCAACGGAGGAAGAACUCACGGGAAACCUCAAACAUAACAAUGCGGUGCAUCUCUGGUCCAAGAUCAAAGGAAAGGAGGGUACUCAGUUCAAGAAUCCUCAAUGAAGGCAUAGCUAAGCCACUUAUGGUUGUUAAGAGUCAUGGUGGUUAUAACAUGAGACAACAGAUCUGACUGCUCUUUGGUAUCGACUUAAUGAAGAGAAAGCUGAGUGGAUUAUAUGUUACCGGUUAUGACAACAGUUGCACUUUGAUUUGGUGUUCAAAAGCUGAAUCAGGAUAAUGAUGACAAGACUUACCCUAAAACAAGCCAUGUUGGUUUUGGUUUUGUCAAGCCAAAAGAUGGCAAACCAUUUAGAACUCGAGAUUCAGAUGUGGUCCCUUUAAGUUAUUUGCUAGAUGAUGCUAAGACUCGCAGUAGAGAUGUUCUUAUUGAGUGCGGUAAGGAACAAGAGUGGACUCCUUAGGAGCUUGAUUAAACAGCCGAGACAUAAAUGAGCUUAAGAAGACAGGAAAGCUAGUGUUGAAUCAUGCGGAUGAACGAGCACUAGGACUUCACUCGCUACGAUUUUCUGAGACUGUUGAGGAAGUAUUUACCAAUUUGUUACCAAGCGUACUGUGCAAGUACCUCUUUAACUUAUCUGAAUACUACAAGUUCUACACAAAUUUUCAGGUUACUGGUUCGGAACAAGAGACAAGCCGACUCUUACUAUGUAAAGCAACAGCCAUAGUUAUGCGGAAA